GACGGAGUCCCAUCGGUUGUUGCCGACAGAAAGACUUCAUUCGGCAUCGUCACUACAUAUACAUUAGCGGAAAUUGCAGAAAUCUCGCCACUCAGAGUUGCUCACGUACAAGUUGACUACAAACGAAGUGCAGGGUGUUCACAACUGUAACAUUCAUUAAUAGACCGUCGAGUCGCGCGUACCUACCACGAUUACACCUGCGUCCAACCACGCUCGA